AGCCCCACAGAGAUGGUUGCCGCGGUAAGAAAACACACCUCUCUCACUCUCUUCAUUUGUGACCGACCAGAACCAUAGCAAGGUUACUCAACAUGUGAGCCUAGUUCACUGAACCACUUCCACCUGUGGGAGUUCAUUGAAGAAAUACACUGUCCCAGAUGGAACACUGUCCCCUAUAUAUAGGCUUUACAGGAUCCCUUGUGGCAUGGUAUCCUACAGUUUGCUCCUAUCGGUCCUGGUCAAAAGCAGUGCAUUAUAUAAAGGCAAUAGGGUUCCAUUUGGGACUCAGCCAUAAGGCAAUAUCAUACAUACCCUGCAUACCUAAUGUCUAAACCCUCUAUGUUCCUAUCAUACAUACCCUGCAUAUCUAAUGUCUAAACCCUCUGUUUCAGGGCCAUGACUGCUGUCCAUUUCAGUUCUCCUAUAAGGGCCCAGGCAGUCUGAAGUUUGUUAAGAAGCUGGACAUCCCCAAGCAGACCUCUAGGGGCAGCAUGUCCGCCAUGCAACACUUCCGCAAUCUGGAUAAGAAGGCUACUGAUGAUGAGAGCAACGAGCUGGGCUGCCUGCACCAGAACAGCAUCACUCAGCUGUGUAUCGUGUCAGGAACUAAGGCCCACGUGGACAAGUACAGCAGUGUGGGUCUGGACGGAGCUAUGGUCCUCUGGGACUUCAAGCACUGAGUUCAUGGAGGUUGCUAGAGCCAUAUGCUGUGUCUUGCCAUCUGUGCGGUCAGCAUCACUCCAGCUGACCAUGGGACUCACCACUACCAGUUGUUAUUAACAUCUACAUUAAGCAGUUAGUCUCACCAGGGUUGGGGUCAAUUCCAUUUCAAUUCCAGUCAAUUCGGAAAGUAAACCAAAUUCCAAUUCCGAUUAAAAAAAAAUGUUCCUCAUUGAAAAGCAUUGAAGAGAAUUGGAAUUUCAGUGUACUUUCUGAAUUGACUGGAAUUGAAAUGGAAUUGACCCCAACACAGAGUCACACCACUGUCAGGUGACCUAUUAUUUUACACAGAUAGAUGUGUUGUCAUGUGUAUUCAUUAUCAACUGGAACAGAAGACGCUUCUGCAGCUUCAAGAUGUUUUGCAAUAAAUCAUGUUGCUUUGUGCUGGGUUUCAAUCAACGAAUCAAUAUUUUUGAGUAAAUUAAAAUGCUUUCUACAGAUUCUGGUGGACUGAGUUUUCAUAUUGUACUGUGAUAAAGGAACUCACAUCCAAGUGGAACGUUUGGUGCAUAUUUCUAAUACUGUAAUAAGACAUAUUAUAAUAUAAAUCAUAAUGUCCAUCCCUGGCUGAGUGCUACACUUCAACAAGGUAUUGUGUCUAUGGCAGUAUGGCUACAGUGAAUCUACACUCCGGAAUUGUUAUAAAUGGUACAAAGUACAAUAUAAAUAUACAAAAUACAAAGUAGCAUGUGUAAGCAAAAGGCUGCUGCAGGUGCUUGAGGGUCGCUCAAGGAGAAGUCAAGGAAGGUCAAUGUUUUGCCAGCUGUUACUACUGUGAAUUAAUAGCUUUUCUUGUCUAUCUCCGCCCACUGUGACCUCCGCCCUCUGUGACCACCGCCCACUGGUUUGAGUUCUCCAUGAAUAACAACAUGCAGAGCUACUAGCUACUAGAGAGGAAGAGGCGGAGCCAGAGGGUUUACUCACGUCAAAGUCUGUCCACGGGGAAUACGGCGUUAUUCACUGUGUUUCUAUAGGUUUAACAAGCACAUCGAUAGAUAGCUUGUCACCUGACUUCCCGCAUUUGGGACAACAACUCAUUAUAUACAGUAUCUCUCCUACUACUGCAUAGAUUUAAACUAGGGGCGUUACCCGACCUCCCUUUCCCCAAGAGGAGCCAAUCAAGACAAACCUUUUUUUCCACCUGACCAUAGAUAAUGAUAGAUAAAGCACUGAGUAUGCAAAUCAUUUAAGAACACCUGCUCUGUCCAUGACAUAGACUGACCAGGUGAAUCCAGGUGAAAGAUAUGAUCCCUUAUUGAUGUCACUUGUUAAAUCCACUUCAAUCAGUGUAGAUGAAGGGGAGGAGACAGGUUAAAGAAGGAUUUUUAAGCCUUGAGACAAUUGAGACAUGGAUUGUGUAUGUGUUCCAUUCAGAGGGUGAAUGGGAAAGACAACAUAUUUAAGUGCCUUUGAAUGGGGUAGGGUAUUAGGUGCCAGGCGCACCGGUUUGUGUCAAGAACUGCAACGCUGCUGGGUUUUUCACGCUCAACAGUUUCCCGUGUGUAUCAAGAAUGGUCCACCACCCAAAGGACAUCCAGCCAACUGGACACAACUGUGGGAAGCAUUUUAGUCAACAUGGGCCAGCAUCCCUGUGGAACCCUUUCAACACCUUGUAGAGUCCAUGCCCCGACGAAUUGAGGCUGUUCUGAGGGCCAACUCAACAUGACGAAGGUGUUCCUAAUGUUUGGUAUACUCAGUGUAUGCAGUAGUUAUUAAGCAAUAAGGCCCGAGGGGGUGUGGUAUAUGACCAAUAUACCACGGCUAAGGGCUGUUCUUAUCAUGAUGCAAUGCAGAGUGGCUGGAUACAGCCAUUAGCUGUGGUAUAUUUGCCAUAUACCACAAACCCCCGAGGUGCCUUAUUGCUAUUAUAAACUGGUUACCAACGUAAUUACAGCAGUAAAAAUACAUGUUUUGUCAUACCCGGUCUGAUUUACCACAUCUUUCAGCCAAUCAGCA
rnacentral:lncRNA from 8 species